GGUUUUGUUCUUUGGAAGAGAGUUCGCCUUGAAAGCGGAUUAGGGUGUUCGAUUCAUCACAAAACUU
rnacentral:tRNA from 1 species